rnacentral:lncRNA from 1 species
CUUAUUAAAUUGCUUAGGUCCUCACUAAUUUGCUGAAACUAGCAUUGAAAUCAUGGUCCUCCUGCCUCAGCCUCCUAAAUUGCUGGGAUCACAGGCAGGCACCUCCGCAGCCUGCUAAAUUUCUUCACAUUCUGGUUCACUGAGGCUUCUUUAUACCUGAGUUCCCAUGUGGAACUUGGAAUGAUCAUAUCUUAGGAGCUUGUAAGCCUUGUGGAUUUGCGGUGAGUUAUGGGGAUUACCAAUAUCAGAUUUAUAGACCUGCUGAACCAUCCCUCUGAAACCCAGCCUUCCAAUGGAUACAGCUCUCAACUAAGCUUCUCAGGGGCUUGGGAAAUUUCCAUUUGAACCAAGCUGUUAGUGUGGUAAAUGGAGUGCUUUGGGAAAUUUCCAUGUUGUGGCGGGGGGAUCUGAUAUCU